rnacentral:rRNA from 1 species
CGCAUGGUAGGAGAGCGUUCCGUAAGCCUGCGAAGGUGCCUUGUAAAGGGUGCUGGAGGUAUCGGAAGUGCGAAUGCUGACAUGAGUAGCGAUAAAGGGGGUGAAAGGCCCCCUCGCCGUAAGCCCAAGGUUUCCUACGCAACGUUCAUCGGCGUAGGGUGAGUCGGCCCCUAAGGCGAGGCAGAAAUGCGUAGCUGAUGGGAAGCAGGUCAAUAUUCCUGCACCAUUGUUAGAUGCGAUGGGGGGACGGAUCGCGGAAGGUUGUCCGGGUGUUGGAAGUCCCGGUCGCUGCAUUGGAGAAGGCGCUUAGGCAAAUCCGGGCGCAGGAUUCAAGGGUGUGGCGCGAGCGACUUAGGUCGCGAAGCAAUUGGAAGUGGUUCCAAGAAAAGCCUCUAAGCUUCAGUCUAACGAUGACCGUACCGCAAACCGACACAGGUGGGCGAGAUGAGUAUUCUAAGGCGCUUGAGAGAACUCGGGAGAAGGAACUCGGCAAAUUGGUACCGUAACUUCGGGAUAAGGUACGCCCUUGUAGCUUGACUGGCCUGCGCCAGGAGGGUGAAGGGGUUGCAAUAAACUGGUGGCUGCGACUGUUUAAUAAAAACACAGCACUCUGCAAACACGAAAGUGGACGUAUAGGGUGUGACGCCUGCCCGGUGCCGGAAGAUUAAAUGAUGGGGUGCAAGCUCUUGAUUGAAGUCCCGGUAAACGGCGGCCGUAACUAUAACGGUCCUAAGGUAGCGAAAUUCCUUGUCGGGUAAGUUCCGACCUGCACGAAUGGCGUAACGAUGGCCACACUGUCUCCUCCCGAGACUCAGCGAAGUUGAAGUGUUUGUGAUGAUGCAAUCUACCCGCGGCUAGACGGAAAGACCCCAUGAACCUUUACUGUAGCUUUGCAUUGGACUUUGAACCGAUCUGUGUAGGAUAGGUGGGAGGCUAUGAAACCGGAACGCUAGUUUCGGUGGAGCCGUCCUUGAAAUACCACCCUGGUUUGUUUGAGGUUCUAACCUUGGCCCGUGAUCCGGGUCGGGGACAGUGCAUGGUAGGCAGUUUGACUGGGGCGGUCUCCUCCCAAAGCGUAACGGAGGAGUACGAAGGUACGCUAGGUACGGUCGGAAAUCGUGCUGAUAGUGCAAUGGCAUAAGCGUGCUUAACUGCGAGACCGACAAGUCGAGCAGGUGCGAAAGCAGGUCAUAGUGAUCCGGUGGUUCUGUAUGGAAGGGCCAUCGCUCAACGGAUAAAAGGUACUCUGGGGAUAACAGGCUGAUACCGCCCAAGAGUUCAUAUCGACGGCGGUGUUUGGCACCUCGAUGUCGGCUCAUCUCAUCCUGGGGCUGUAGCCGGUCCCAAGGGUAUGGCUGUUCGCCAUUUAAAGAGGUACGUGAGCUGGGUUUAAAACGUCGUGAGACAGUUUGGUCCCUAUCUGCCGUGGGCGUUGGAUAUUUGAAGGGGGCUGCUCCUAGUACGAGAGGACCGGAGUGGACGAACCUCUGGUGUACCGGUUGUGACGCCAGUCGCAUCGCCGGGUAGCUAUGUUCGGAAGAGAUAACCGCUGAAAGCAUCUAAGCGGGAAACUCGCCUUAAGAUGAGAUAUCCCUGGAGGCUUGACCUCCUUGAAGGGUCGUUCGAGACCAGGACGUUGAUAGGUCAGGUGUGUAAGCGCAGUAAUGCGUUCAGCUAACUGAUACUAAUUGCCCGUAAGGCUUGAUCCUAUAACA